rnacentral:rRNA from 1 species
GACGAACGCUGGCGGCGUGCUUAACACAUGCAAGUCGAACGGAAAGGCCCUGCUUUUGUGGGGUGCUCGAGUGGCGAACGGGUGAGUAACACGUGAGUAACCUGCCCUUGACUUUGGGAUAACUUCAGGAAACUGGGGCUAAUACCGGAUAGGAGCUCCUGCUGCAUGGUGGGGGUUGGAAAGUUUCGGCGGUUUGGGAUGGACUCGCGGCUUAUCAGCUUGUUGGUGGGGUAGUGGCUUACCAAGGCUUUGACGGGUAGCCGGCCUGAGAGGGUGACCGGCCACAUUGGGACUGAGAUACGGCCCAGACUCCUACGGGAGGCAGAAGUGGGGAAUAUUGCACAAUGGGCGGAAGCCUGAUGCAGCAACGCCGCGUGCGGGAUGACGGCCUUCGGGUUGUAAACCGCUUUCGCCUGUGACGAAGCGUGAGUGACGGUAAUGGGUAAAGAAGCACCGGCUAACUACGUG